rnacentral:rRNA from 1 species
CAGUAGCCGCGGUAAAACGUAGGGUGCGAGCGUUAAUCGGAAUUACUGGGCGUAAAGCGUGCGUAGGCGGUUACUCAAGUCAGAGGUGAAAGCCCGGGGCUCAACCCCGGAACUGCCUUUGAAACUAGGUGACUAGAAUCUUGGAGAGGUCAGUGGAAUUCCGAGUGUAGAGGUGAAAUUCGUAGAUAUUCGGAAGAACACCAGUGGCGAAGGCGACUGACUGGACAAGUAUUGACGCUGAGGUGCGAAAGCGUGGGGAGCAAACAGGAUUAGAGACCCGCGUAGUCCCUGUCUCUUAUAC